UACGGAGGGUGCAAGCGUUAUCCGGAUUCACUGGGUUUAAAGGGUGCGUAGGUGGGUAUGUAAGUCAGUGGUGAAAUCCCCGAGCUUAACUUGGGAACUGCCGUUGAUACUAUAUAUCUUGAAUAUCGCGUAGGUAAGCGGAAUAUGUCAUGUAGCGGUGAAAUGCUUAGAUAUGACAUAGAACACCAAUGGCGAAGGCAGCUUACUUCACGAUUAUUGACACUGAGGCACGAAAGCGUGGGGAGCAAACAGG
rnacentral:rRNA from 1 species